rnacentral:misc_RNA from 1 species
GCAUUAUUGUGCUGAGAACUAUAUGAAUGUUGAGGUGCGAUGAGGCAACAUUCCAGGAUAAUAUGAGCAGGCCCUGCCCGAGAAUUGAAGUCCAAAUAGAAAAGAAGCACCCUGUUGAUAUAGCAUGGGUUGUCUCAGGUUAUUUUCCAACUAGAGGUUGAUAAGGGCCUGUCACUGUCAAGCCAUGAUCUAUCUAUAAUACGCCCAUAGUUGGCCAUUAAUUGUCAUACACGUGUUACGCUUCAAAUCAAGGUCUUUUUCCAACCACAACUGAAGCUGAUGAUGAUACCACCUUCAAUUUUUGUUGAGAUUCAGUUGUCCAGGAGUACCAACAUCAUCUUCAUCACCAUAUAUUCACCACCUGCUUGACCCUUUCUGUUUGCUUGAUAUUCUCAGCUGAUUUGUCCCAAAGUCCUCUGUUCAACGGAUGGAGAAAGCCUAUUCCACAAGCUUGAUGGGUACAACAAGGACUCAUAUCACUGUGGAAAUCUGUGCAUCCAGACUGUAUGAUAGAGAAAAGGUAAAGCGAAGAUGAAAGUGCCUUCUUAUUGUCUGCCGCAGAGUAUGUUUGGAGCUGGGAACUGUCCACAAGCUGUUAUCCUAUUUUCAUGUUAGCUACCAAUAACCUGAUGGCCCAAAAAAAAAAAAAA